CCCUUAGAUGUUCUGGGCAGCACGCGCACUACAAUGGUCUUCGCAAACGGAUGCAUUCUCGAAGGAGAAUGCCAAUCUUGGAAUCUAUGCCUUGGUCGGGACAGUUGCCUGCAAUUUUUCGACUCGAACCAGGAAUUCCUUGUAAUCGUGAUUCAUCACAUCACGAUGAAUACGUCCCUGCCCUUUGUACACACCGCCCGUCGCUCCUACCGAUCGAAGAGUUAGGUGAAUUGUUUUGAUCGAUAAGAUUUGACUAUGGUCAACUCUCGUUGUGAAAUUCUGUGAAUCUGACUGUUUAGAGGAAGGAAAAGUCGUAACA
rnacentral:rRNA from 1 species